GACGAACGCUGGCGGCGUGCUUAACACAUGCAAGUCGAACGGAAAGGCCCUGCUUUUGUGGGGUGCUCGAGUGGCGAACGGGUGAGUAACACGUGAGUAACCUGCCCUUGACUUUGGGAUAACUUCAGGAAACUGGGGCUAAUACCGGAUAGGAGCUCCUGCUGCAUGGUGGGGGUUGGAAAGUUUCGGCGGUUGGGGAUGGACUCGCGGCUUAUCAGCUUGUUGGUGGGGUAGUGGCUUACCAAGGCUUUGACGGGUAGCCGGCCUGAGAGUGUGACCGGCCACAUUGGGACUGAGAUGCGGCCCAGACUGCUACGGGAGGCAGCAGUGGGGAAUAUUGCACAAUGGGCGGAAGCCUGAUGCAGCAACUCCGCGUGGGGGAUGACUGCCUGCGGGUUGUAAACCGCUUUCGCCUGUGACGAAGCGUGAGUGACGGUAAUGGGUAAAGAAGCACCGGCUAACUACGUG
rnacentral:rRNA from 1 species